rnacentral:rRNA from 1 species
UACAGAGGGGGCAAGCGUUAUUCGGAAUUAUUGGGCGUAAAGGGCGCGUAGGCGGCUUGGCAAGUGGAUGGUGAAUCCCUCGGCUUAACCGAGGAACUGCCAUCCAGACUGCUUUGCUUGAGGCCGGGAGAGGUGAGUGGAAUUCCCAGUGUAGCGGUGAAAUGCGUAGAUAUUGGGAGGAACACCAGUGGCGAAGGCGGCUCACUGGACCGGUUCUGACGCUGAUGCGCGAAAGCGUGGGGAGCAAACGGGG